GCAUUUAAAAAAAACUUCAAUAUAAGACAGAUUCCAUAGGGCUCUACAUUAAGUCAGUGCUAAAAGCUAACUGGAGAUUUGAAAAUAUGACUACGUCAAGCUAUAUAUAUUUUGAAA